rnacentral:rRNA from 1 species
ACGGGUGGAGUAACGCGUGGGUAACCGUGCCUCAUACAGGGGGAGUAACAGCUGGAAACGAACUGCUAAUACCGCAUAAGCGCACAGGAUCGCAUGAUCCGGUGUGAAAAACUCCGGUGGUAUGAGAUGGACCCGCGUCUGAUUAGCCAGUUGGCAGGGUAACGGCCUACCAAAGCGACGAUCAGUAGCCGACCUGAGAGGGUGACCGGCCACAUUGGGACUGAGACACGGCCCAAACUCCUACGGGAGGCAGCAUG